CUCGCUUCUGGACAGGACGGGUGCAGAAGACCGGGGCUCGCAUGGAGCUGUCACUGUUGAUACCCUUCCUGGUGUUACUGCUGCUGUUACUAGGCCGAUUAGGGUGCGAGCACCUGCCAAGCACCAGAUCUCACCCAGAAGGGAGACCAGGGCACCAAGAAGGUCCAGCCAUCGGCCCAAAGCCGUCAACAGGAUGAAGAGGCCACCCAUGCGCACCAGGACCGUCUGGACCUGGCCCUGUAGGCUGAAGCCAUGUUGCCGCUGCUCCUCUGCGGGAUGCAUUUGUCACUGUCUCAGCCAGCGCCCUCUGGAGGUCAGCUGGGGCCAGCUUAUUCCACUUCUCAAUGCCUUCUCCCCAGGGACAGUACCCCCUUUCCCGGCUGCCUUUACAUCCCAGCUUCCCUCUCUGGGCACUCACAAGAUGGACUGCCCACCCUUAAGUCUCCCCAGCUUGAGGACAGAGCCCUUGCCAGUCGGUGACAAGGACCAAGAUUCUCCCCUCUGUGCCCGUGGGUCGGAGUCAUCCCCAGCCCAGUCCACUUCCGCCUAGCACACGCCCCACUCCCUCUUGCCCCACCCUGGUCCCAGACACCUUCCCCUCUUGCUGAAGCUCAUUCAUGGGGCUCUUGACUUCUGUUCCUGAACAAACUCUACUGACCCGGCUAAAGUGA